CUGCAUGGCUGUCGUCAGCUCGUGUUGUGAAAUGUUGGGUUAAGUCCCGCAACGAGCGCAACCCUUAUCCUUGUUUGCCAGCACGUAAUGGUGGGAACUCCAGGGAGACUGCCGGUGAUAAACCGGAGGAAGGUGGGGACGACGUCAAGUCAUCAUGGCCCUUACGAGUAGGGCUACACACGUGCUACAAUGGCGUAUACAGAGGGCAGCGAUACCGCGAGGUGGAGCGAAUCUCACAAAGUACGUCGUAGUCCGGAUUGG
rnacentral:rRNA from 1 species